rnacentral:rRNA from 1 species
UACGUAGGGUCCAAGCGUUAUCCGGAAUUACUGGGCGUAAAGCGUGCGUAGACGGUUAUGUAAGUCGGAUGUGAAAGCCCCGGGCUCAACCUGGGAAUUGCAUUCGAGACUGCAUAGCUAGGAUGCGGAAGAGGGAAGUGGAAUUUCCGGUGUAGCGGUGAAAUGCGUAGAUAUCGGAAGGAACAUCAGUGGCGAAAGCGACUUCCUGGUCCAGCAUCGACGUUCAGGCACGAAAGCGUGGGGAGCAAACAGG